rnacentral:rRNA from 1 species
CCUACGGGCGGCAGCAGUGAGGAAUAUUGGUCAAUGGGCGGAAGCCUGAACCAGCCAAGUAGCGUGCAGGAUGACGGCCCUACGGGUUGUCAACUGCUUUUAUACGGGAAUAACGCGCCUUACGUGUAGGGCUUUGCAUGUACCUUAUGAAUAAGGACCGGCUAAUUCCGUGCCAGCAGCCGCGGUAAUACGGAAGGUAGGGGCGUUAUCCGGAUUUAUUGGGUUUAAAGGGAGCGUAGUCCGCGUGUCAAGCGUGCGGUAAAAUGUCCGGGCUCAAACCGGACCUGGCAGCGCGAACGGGCGUGCUUGGGUCCGCGGAAAGCAGGCGGAAUUGGUGGUGUAGCGGUGAAAUGCUUAGAUAUGACGAAGAACCCCGAUUGCGAAGGCAGCUUGCUGCAGCGGAACUGACGCUGAUGCUCGAAAGCGCGGGUAUCGAACAGGAUUAGAUACCCCUGUAGU